ACAACUGCCUCUGUUUAGAUGGAAUAGUCCCACUGUCUGAGGAGGAAGGGCAAACGCAUGGUGGCUCGAGCCGGUUACCUUUGAAUUACUCCAAACCUGGUGGAUAUUGUUUUUGGAGUUCUCCCCCGUGGCAAGGGCUGUUUUAACUUACAUUAAUUCUGUGUGAUGCAGGGUCCUUCCUCUCUCAUUAUGUCCAUAUCACCCUGGUCAUUAAAUACCCGCCUUGAUGCACAGAGGCGUUCAACAGAUAAGGGCUGCAGCGUGUCAGCUCAAACCGGGCAGCUUCAACUCCUUUCCUGGAACAGAGCAGAGUCGCCCAUGCUGCUAGGUUGUCCUUGAGUCCUUUCUUGUUGGACAGUCUUUUUUCUCUGCCUUUUCUUUUAUUCUAUUAAAAAAAAAAACUCCGGACUCCUGUUACAGGGAUUAAAAGAAAAGAAAACUAAUAUUGUUAGCAUCACAAAACCCUUCUUGCUGCCCGUUUUCACCUUCUACAACGUUGGGUUAUUUCAGAUUAAUGAAUUUGAAGGAGUUCCUUUGGAGUAUGCGGCACGACUGCAUUCUACACACUCAAGUCCCAAAGGGCAGAGCUCAAAAUUUACGGAAACUAGAUCCCAAUGGCUACUAGGCUCAGUCUAUAUUGUUGGGGAGGAAUAGUCCAGAAGAACUCAGCCCGUAGUUCAGACAUCUGGUUCCCUGCCAUGUUUGGGAAGUCCAGAGCCCCAGGGUCAGUCCCAGACCUGAGUGGUUGUAGUAACCUGGGGGUCAUUGCUAAGAGGUCUGCCUGGAAACUGUGCAUCUCUCUUCACCCCAGCAGAGCCCAGGGGAGCUGGGAGGAGGGGCAGUGUCCAAGGGUCUGAGCAGCGCAGGCAGGACUCCUCCCAGGGUGGAGAGCACAGAGGGCAAGUGAUGGCAGUACCUCUAGCUGGACCAACAAAGACCCUUGUGAUUUAGUUUGGUAAAGGCGAUGGAAAGGACUCUCCAGACAGUGAUUGCACUAUGAAAUGUUUUCUAAUGCAACUUAAAACUUUCCAAUUUUUGCUGAUUAAUGAACUUUUAGAAUUAUAGACAAAAAUUUUAAACAUAAAGAUUGGAUCAUUAAUGAGUCCUUAUGUUGACAAAGGGACUCAAUCAACGUUUAUGGAAUUGAUUUAAUGAACAGAUAAACUGAUUUUAGAUUCGUGAUAUGUAGGAAUGAGGAUGAUAUUUCAGUGGGACAUAUAUGGAUUCUGUUUCUAACUACAUAAGCCUUCUCUCUACAAUCCUCUUAAUAUCUUAAUAAACAUAAAAAAUAGCUACUAAGAGGAUAAUUUUACCUCAGCCUUUAAAAAAACCUGCCAGAUUGUUGUGAAUUGUCUCUCUCUUUUUUUCUUCCUAAAUUCUCAGGUUUUAUUAUUUAUGCACAUUUGUAUUCUUCUCCCCUUGAUACCACAAGACAUCGAGGCCUGUUUCUCCUGUCUUUCCUGCAUGAUCAGGGCCUGGGUAGUCUGUGUACCUCAGACGGAAUCAGGGAUCAAGGGAGUUGCCCCAUCGCUCUGUUCUGUGACAUGCUGCUAAAGGAUUGUGGGAGUUUCCUUGCCCUCAACCGGGAAGAUCUAGAAAAGACAGAUGGUUGCAGUUUCUGGAAGUGAGGAAGAUAAUUCUACCACUUCAGAAUCGCCAGCCCAGGACAUUUAAAAACCAAGGCACCGCUAAAGAAAAGAAGUUUCCUUCAGAGAUGAAUGUGUCCAAGAUAAAGGGUGAUGGCUUGAAGAAAGAACAAACACUCAUAGCUACACGACCCGUUAACACGAAAGAUCCAGAAACCAACCACUUCUGAUUUGGUUCCCUGCUGUUACUUAUUUAUGGAAGAUGGGUAAAUAGUGAAAUGUUAUAAAUAGUAAAAAAGAAAAAAAAAAGCUUUGUAUUGAAUUUGAUGAUGGAAAUUACACCCUGGCAAAGAAUGUAUUAAUCAGAAAAUUAUUUUAGCUUCUUUCUUGAAUACAUCAAAAGAUAGAAAAGUGAAAGGUACACAGUAUAAAGUCUAUUGUCAUGGUUUUUACUAUAUUAGUUCCAAAGUAUAAAUUCAUGAUAAUUAGUGCAUUUGAAAAUUAGAUACUCUUUGCUAGUAGAACAGGUAAAAGAGCUUUACGGAAAAAAUAUACUAGAAAACGUGCUGGGGAUAGAGAGUUUGGUGAAGCAAGGGUCAUGCUUUUUUUUAGGAGAUUAAGAGCAAGUGUCAGUAGGUUAUUUUAACAAAGUGCUAUGACAGUGAUUAGGCAUACGUUCACCAGUGUAAGGGCUCGGGUCCGGUGGGGGAAUGUUCACAGCUGGGCUGGAGAGCCACGGAGGCACCAGAACUUAAGAGUGGAAGAUUGCUUUUUGCCCACGUAAAUGCCAGCAUUUCCCAAAUUUACCAAACCCAAGACACAAAGGAGACAUUGCACCAACUAUGCCAUCCUGGUGGAUAUAGAUGGGGAGUACAGGAGGGGUAAGGCAUUCUCAGAGAACAAAGGAAUGGUCUUUCUUGUUAAUUGCUGCAGGAUUCAUGUGUUCUAAAAAUACUUUAUAAAAGCAGAAAACAGAAAACAGCAACCUACUACUUUCCCCACAUGAUGUAAAGUGUCGGGUAUGAGAAUGAACAAAAUAAAGUCCCUGACCUCAUGGGGCUUGAACGGGGAGACAGACAGCAAACAAACAAGAGAACGCAUCAUAUGAUUUACUGAUCUAUUGUAAGAUUUACCGAUUGACCUUACAGUUGGAGGGGCGUCCACAGCCCCGGCCUUGGUCAGCACUGAGUUCCAGGCCAUCUCCCUGCCUCUGGACUUGUGUAUCACGGGCUGUAGAAAAGUCUUCUUGUAGUGGGCAGUUAGUUCUGUGGCUUUUAAAUAAGGCUGCAGGGGGUUGAUUAAAUUGGAUCUAGAAAGAUGGGCCAAAACGAGUGGAGUGGGACAAUAUUCGACAUAAAAAAGGGAGCAAAGCAAAGCCGGGGGCUCCAGGAUACAAAAACUACUAUAUGGCUAGAGGUCGGGGGAGACCCACAUUUUGUAGGGCCUGAAGCUGAUCACAUUUGGAGGCCUUCUGUAAGAGAAAGGAUAAAAAUUUAAGGAUAGGAAAUUAGGUACAAAAAUAUUGAUUUAAAAUGAGACAUGCAUCACAAUAAGCUAUGCAAUUUAAAAGGCCGACAAACACCAUAAACUUCAAAAAUAGCCACAAGAAAACAUUUAAUAAACCACCUGACACACCUCAAUCAUACUAUUUUCCCCACAUUUUUUCGCUGCAUACCCUCCCCCCAGCUCUACUGAGGUCUAGUUGACAAUGAAAAAUUGUGCAUAUUUAAGGUGUACAACUUGAUGAUUUGAUAUAUGGAUAUAUUGUGAAAUAUUCAAGUGUGUGUGU